GGUCAAGCGAACAAGUGCAUGUGGUGGAUGCCUUGGCGAUCACAGGCGAUGAAGGACGCGGUAGCCUGCGAAAAGCCCCGGGGAGCUGGCAAACAAGCUUUGAUCCGGGGAUGUCCGAAUGGGGAAACCCACUCCUUCUGGAGUAUCCAUAGCUGAAUACAUAGGCUAUGUGAAGCGAACGCGGUGAACUGAAACAUCUAAGUAACCGCAGGAAAAGAAAUCAACCGAGAUUCCCAAAGUAGUGGCGAGCGAAAUGGGAAGAGCCUGUACUCUUUAUCUGUAUUGUUAGUUGAACGCUCUGGAAAGUGCGGCCAUAGCAGGUGAUAGCCCUGUAGACGAAAACAGUGUGGAAGAACUAGGUGUACGACAAGUAGGGCGGGACACGUGAAAUCCUGUCUGAAGAUGGGGGGACCAUCCUCCAAGGCUAAAUACUCGUGAUCGACCGAUAGUGAACCAGUACCGUGAGGGAAAGGCGAAAAGAACCCCGGGAGGGGAGUGAAAUAGAUCCUGAAACCGCAUGCAUACAAACAGUCGGAGCCUCGUAAGGGGUGACGGCGUACCUUUUGUAUAAUGGGUCAGCGACUUACGUUCAGUAGCAAGCUUAACCGAAUAGGGCAGGCGUAGCGAAAGCGAGUCCGAAUAGGGCGUUCAGUUGCUGGGCGUAGACCCGAAACCAGGUGAUCUAUCCAUGGCCAGGAUGAAGGUGCGGUAACACGUACUGGAGGUCCGAACCCACUAACGUUGAAAAGUUAGGGGAUGAGCUGUGGAUAGGGGUGAAAGGCUAAACAAACCUGGAAAUAGCUGGUUCUCUCCGAAAACUAUUUAGGUAGUGCCUCGUGUCUCACCUUCGGGGGUAGAGCACUGUCAUGGUUGGGGGGUCCAUUGCGGAUUACCCCGCCAUAGCAAACUCCGAAUACCGAAGAGUGCAAUCACGGGAGACAGACAUCGGGUGCUAACGUCCGGUGUCAAGAGGGAAACAACCCAGACCGCCAGCUAAGGUCCCCAAAUAUAGCUAAGUGGGAAACGAAGUGGGAAGGCUAAAACAGUCAGGAGGUUGGCUUAGAAGCAGCCACCCUUUAAAGAAAGCGUAAUAGCUCACUGAUCGAGUCGUCCUGCGCGGAAGAUGUAACGGGGCUAAGCUAUAUACCGAAGCUGCGGAUGCACAUUUAUGUGCAUGGUAGGAGAGCGUUCCGUAAGCCUGCGAAGGUGCACUGGAAAGUGUGCUGGAGGUAUCGGAAGUGCGAAUGCUGACAUGAGUAGCGAUAAAGGGGGUGAAAGGCCCCCUCGCCGUAAGCCCAAGGUUUCCUACGCAACGUUCAUCGGCGUAGGGUGAGUCGGCCCCUAAGGCGAGGCAGAAAUGCGUAGCUGAUGGGAAGCAGGUCAAUAUUCCUGCACCAUUGUUAGAUGCGAUGGGGGGACGGAUCGCGGAAGGUUGUCCGGGUGUUGGAAGUCCCGGUCGCUGCAUUGGAGAAGGCGCUUAGGCAAAUCCGGGCGCGGAAUUCAAGGGUGUGGCGCGAGCGACUCAGGUCGCGAAGCAAUUGGAAGUGGUUCCAAGAAAAGCCUCUAAGCUUCAGUCUAACGAUGACCGUACCGCAAACCGACACAGGUGGGCGAGAUGAGUAUUCUAAGGCGCUUGAGAGAACUCGGGAGAAGGAACUCGGCAAAUUGGUACCGUAACUUCGGGAUAAGGUACGCCCUUGUAGCUUGACCCCCCUGCGGGGGAAGGGUGAAGGGGUUGCAAUAAACUGGUGGCUGCGACUGUUUAAUAAAAACACAGCACUCUGCAAACACGAAAGUGGACGUAUAGGGUGUGACGCCUGCCCGGUGCCGGAAGAUUAAAUGAUGGGGUGCAAGCUCUUGAUUGAAGUCCCGGUAAACGGCGGCCGUAACUAUAACGGUCCUAAGGUAGCGAAAUUCCUUGUCGGGUAAGUUCCGACCUGCACGAAUGGCGUAACGAUGGCCACACUGUCUCCUCCCGAGACUCAGCGAAGUUGAAGUGUUUGUGAUGAUGCAAUCUACCCGCGGCUAGACGGAAAGACCCCAUGAACCUUUACUGUAGCUUUGCAUUGGACUUUGAACCGAUCUGUGUAGGAUAGGUGGGAGGCUAUGAAACCGGAACGCUAGUUUCGGUGGAGCCGUCCUUGAAAUACCACCCUGGUUUGUUUGAGGUUCUAACCUUGGCCCGUGAUCCGGGUCGGGGACAGUGCAUGGUAGGCAGUUUGACUGGGGCGGUCUCCUCCCAAAGCGUAACGGAGGAGUACGAAGGUACGCUAGGUACGGUCGGAAAUCGUGCUGAUAGUGCAAUGGCAUAAGCGUGCUUAACUGCGAGACCGACAAGUCGAGCAGGUGCGAAAGCAGGUCAUAGUGAUCCGGUGGUUCUGUAUGGAAGGGCCAUCGCUCAACGGAUAAAAGGUACUCUGGGGAUAACAGGCUGAUACCGCCCAAGAGUUCAUAUCGACGGCGGUGUUUGGCACCUCGAUGUCGGCUCAUCUCAUCCUGGGGCUGUAGCCGGUCCCAAGGGUAUGGCUGUUCGCCAUUUAAAGAGGUACGUGAGCUGGGUUUAAAACGUCGUGAGACAGUUUGGUCCCUAUCUGCCGUGGGCGUUGGAUAUUUGAAGGGGGCUGCUCCUAGUACGAGAGGACCGGAGUGGACGAACCUCUGGUGUACCGGUUGUCACGCCAGUGGCAUCGCCGGGUAGCUAUGUUCGGAAGAGAUAACCGCUGAAAGCAUCUAAGCGGGAAACUCGCCUUAAGAUGAGAUAUCCCUGGGGACUAGAUCCCCUUGAAGGGUCGUUCGAGACCAGGACGUUGAUAGGUCGGGUGUGUAAGCGCAGUAAUGCGUUCAGCUAACCGAUACUAAUUGCCCGUAAGGCUUGAUCCU
rfam:Burkholderia sp. lig30 ctg73, whole genome shotgun sequence.